AACGUCCAUACCAUGUUGAAUGUACCGGUUCUCAUUAGAUCAUCGAAGUCAAGUAUCAUUGGGUGCGGUCAGUACUUGGGUGGGUGACCACCUGGGAACACCACGUGCCGUU
rnacentral:rRNA from 1 species